GGGAAGAGCUCAAAUUUUAAAUCGGGUGGCCGUUUUCUACAGCCUCUCCGAGUUGUAAUCUAGAGAAGCAUCAUCCGUGCUGGACCAUGUACAAGUCUCUUGGAACAGAGCGUCAUAGAGGGUGAGAAUCCCGUCCUUGACAUGGACUCCCAGUACUUUGUGUUGUGCUCUCAAC
rnacentral:rRNA from 1 species